UACGGGGGGAGCAAGCGUUGUUCGGAUUUACUGGGCGUAAAGGGCGCGUAGGCGGUCGUGACAAGUCACUUGUGAAAUCUCCGGGCUUAACUCGGAACGGUCAAGUGAUACUGUCGGACUAGAGUACAGAAGGGGCAACUGGAAUUCUCGGUGUGGCGGUGAAAUGCGUAGAUAUCGAGAGGAACACCUGCGGCGAAGGCGGGUUGCUGGGCUGAUACUGACGCUGAGGCGCGAAAGCCAGGGGAGCGAACGGG
rnacentral:rRNA from 1 species